rnacentral:rRNA from 1 species
UACAGAGGUGGCAAGCGUUGUUCGGAAUUACUGGGCGUAAAGGGCGCGUAGGCGGCCUUCUAAGUCAGACGUGAAAUCCCCCGGCUUAACCUGGGAACUGCGUCUGAUACUGGAAGGCUUGAGUGCGGGAGAGGGAUGUGGAAUUCCAGGUGUAGCGGUGAAAUGCGUAGAUAUCGGGAGGAACACCUGUGGCGAAGGCGGCCCCCUGGUUGGAUACUGACGCUGAUACGCGAAAGCGUGGGGAGCAAACAGG